AGGGAAGCAGCAGAGAACAAGAGUUUGAUGAUAAGGGUCACCUGGGGAAGCUGAUGGAUCAAGGUCCUUGAGGAGGCAGAGGAAUGAGAGACACAUUUGCACAAAGACGGAAAAAACUCGGAGACCCUGAAUAUCAAAGUGUCAGAAGCAAAUUCACAACCGG
rnacentral:lncRNA from 1 species